GGGGUGCGCAGUAGACAUACCUCCACGUGGUGCACCCUAGGCAACGUAUACUUAUACGGCAAAAGGUCUAU
rnacentral:ribozyme from 1 species